CUUGCAUCAUUGUAAAGAUGAUGCAAGAUCGACUAUGUCGAAUAAAAUUCUAGGUAGAAUUAUGAUAAUGACAUUGUCUGCCUAUGUGUCUUGACCAAAUUACGUGCCAGCAGUCGCGGUAAUACGUAGAAGACUAGUGUUAUUCAUGUUUAAUCGGUUUAAAGGGUACCUAGACAGUAAAUCAAGCUUUCAAAAAAAGAAAAGGACUAAUUUGCUAGAGUUACUUAUGAGGGGGUUUUAAAGUACUGAUGGUGUAGAGAUGAAAUUCUGUCAUACCUCUUUUCAAAAGAAAAAUUGAUGGCACAGGUAUAGGCGAAGGCAUCCCCUUAUGUGAUAACUGACGUUGAGGGACGAAGGCUUAUACAGCGAACAGGAUUAGAUACCCCAGUAGUCUAAGCAGAAAAUGAUGAAUGUCAUAGAUUAGAUAUAUAAGUUUAUUCUAUAAAUGAAAGUGUAAGCAUUCCACCUCAUGAGUAAUUUGGCAACAUUGGAACUGAAAUCAUUAGACCGUUUCUGAAACCAG
rnacentral:rRNA from 1 species